rnacentral:rRNA from 1 species
AUUGAACGCUGGCGGCAUGCCUUACACAUGCAAGUCGAACGGCAGCACGGGUGCUUGCACCUGGUGGCGAGUGGCGAACGGGUGAGUAAUACAUCGGAACGUACCUUAUCGUGGGGGAUAACGCAGCGAAAGCUGUGCUAAUACCGCAUACGCCCUGAGGGGGAAAGCGGGGGAUCGAAAGACCUCGCGCGAUUAGAGCGGCCGAUGACUGAGUUAGCUUGUUGGUGGGGUAAAAGCCCACCAAGGCGACGAUCAGUAGCUGGUCUGAGAGGACGAUCAGCCACACUGGGACUAGGAGACGGCCCAGACUCCUACGGGAGGCAGCAGUGGGGAAUUUUGGAUAAUGGGGGCAACCCUGAUCCAGCAAUGCCGCGUGAGUGAAGAAGGCCUUCGGGUUGUAAAGCUCUUUUGUCAGGGAAGAAACACCGGCUCUAACACAGUCCGGGAAUGACGGUACCUGAAGAAUAAGCACCGGCUAACUACGUGCCAGCCGCCGCAGUAA